GGUGCAUGACCUGACAGAAGUGAGCAGGAGCUGGAGACAGGGACAGAGAGCCAGACCAGAGCAACGGUCUCACCAGUUUAGCGACCCAUCCCGACCCACAGGCGACGUCCAGAACCCGAGCUUCUUCUGGACUCCCGGAGAAGUUAUCAGACAGGAAGUCUACUGCCAGGACUUUUACAGGACUGAAAUGCGACCCUCACAUCGUCUUCAGUUCUGACAGAGUCGGACAUGAUGAGGAGACAAACCUGCCGGGAGACAGACCAUAGACGUUUAUUGUCAGACAAUGAAACUGGGACAGAAGCCAAUAUA